rnacentral:rRNA from 1 species
GUGAAAUUGUUGAAAGGGAAACGAUUGAAGUCAGUCAUGCUAGUGGGGAAUCAACUUGAUGGUGUGUGGGUUCUCUCGCAUACUUUCCGGUGCACUUCCUUACUCGGCAGGUUAGCAUCAAUUUCGGUUAUCAUAAAAAAUUUGAGGGAAUGUGACUUUUUUCGGAAAAGUGUUAUAGACCUUGAUCUAUGUGGUGACCGGGAUUGAGGAUUGCAGCGGAUACCCUCGUGGCUCGUCACCUGGCUUCUAACGGUUAUCCCGCUUUCGACAGCUCGCUAACGUUAGUGUGGGGGACUCGAUUGUCUAGAUGUCAGAGUGAUUGAUUUUCGCUAAGGAUGCUGACGUAAUGGCUUUAAACGAC